AGAUUUAUGAAGAACUCUUCCCGUGAAUUCAUGGUGUUUCAUCCUAUAUACGACUGAGAUAUCAUUGCUUACUCUCCAGUGCAAGUGUUCUUAACAUUAAACUCCCU